rnacentral:rRNA from 1 species
AUUGAACGCUGGCGGCAGGCCUAACACAUGCAAGUCGAACGAGUGGCGGACGGGUGAGUAAUGUCUGGGAAACUGCCUGAUGGAGGGGGAUAACUACUGGAAACGGUAGCUAAUACCGCAUACAAUCGGAUGGGCCCAAAUGGGAUUAGCUAGUAGGGGGGGGAAAGGCUAACCUAGGCGACGAUCCCUAGCUGGUCUGAGAGGAUGACCCGCCACAAUGGAACUGGUGAAAGGUCCAGACUCCAACGGUAGGCAGCAGUGGGGAAUAUUGUACAAUGGGCGCAAGCCUGAUGCAGCCAUGCCGCGUGUAUGAAGAAGGCCUUCGGGUUGUAAAGUACUUUCAGCGGGGAGGCGUUACCCGCAGAAGAAGCACCGGCUAACUCCGUGCCAGCAGCCGCGGUAAUAC